UACAGAGGGGGCAAGCGUUAUUCGGAAUUAUUGGGCGUAAAGGGCGCGUAGGCGGCCUGGCAAGUGGAAGGUGAAAUCCCACGGCUCACCCGUGGAACGGCUGGGCAUACUGGCGGUCUUGGGCCAUUUAGGGGCGACUGGAACAAGCGGUGGAGCGGUGAAAUGCGUAGAUAUCGCUUGGAACGCCGAAGGUGAAAACAGGUCGCUGGGAAUGUGCCGACGCUGAGACACGAAAGCCAGGGGAGCAAACGGG
rnacentral:rRNA from 1 species